UCGGUUGGGUGAGGUGAUGUGGUGGUCCGAGCCACCGUACCCUCCAAGUUAAUUCGGUGGUGCAGUUCGAUUUAGUGAAGUGACUCGUGUGUUCGAUUAGUGUUGUGAUUAGUGCCCUAUUGGAUAUACUGGAUACAACCCUGAAUUGCAAGGCCUUGGAUGGAUCUAGACUGUAACGACCAAACCACACAUUGGAAAGAUGAUAAGGGAACAGUGAAAGGGCACUAAAGGUAGAUCCAGAACGAGACUAGUUAGCCUGGCAACUGGCAACGCAAAGUUUUUUAUUACAGUAUUUGGGGUUCUUUUAUCAACUGUCAGUUUUUGAUCGAGUCGAUUUUAAUAGGUAAUUUGCUCUAGAUAGAACAAAUUACAAUGUUCUCCGAUAUACAUUAUUGGAUUAAAAUGAUUUCUUUCCAAAAGGAAAUAUUUUGUGAAGCUUGUAAAUGUUUCUAAUAAAUAAAGAUGUUUUUCUGGUGUGUAACUAAUAUACGUCAGAUAUUUUCUUUCAGCUUAAAUAAAUAAAACAAAACUU